rnacentral:rRNA from 1 species
GACGUAGGGCGCGAGCGUUGUCCGGAUUUAUUGGGCGUAAAGAGCUCGUAGGCGGCUUGUCGCGUCGACCGUGAAAACUUGGGGCUCAACCCCAAGCCUGCGGUCGAUACGGGCAGGCUCGAGUUCGGUAGGGGAGACUGGAAUUCCUGGUGUAGCGGUGAAAUGCGCAGAUAUCAGGAGGAACACCGGUGGCGAAGGCGGCAUCCUGGACCGACACUGACACUGAGGAGCGAAAGCCAGGGGAGCAAACGGG